rnacentral:rRNA from 1 species
GAUUGAGUUUGAUCCUGGCUCAAGAUGAACGCUGGCGGCGUGCUUAACACAUGCAAGUCGAGCGAAGCGCUCACGCGGAAUUUUUCGAAAGGAAGCGGGAGUGACUUAGCGGCGGACGGGUGAGUAACGCGUGGGUAACCUGCCCCAUACCGGGGGAUAACGGUUAGAAAUGACCGCUAAUACCGCUUAAGCGCGCGAGGCCGCAUGGCCGCGCGCGAAAAACUCCGGUGGUAUGGGAUGGGCCCGCGUCUGAUUAGGUAGUUGGCGGGGUAAGGGCCCACCAAGCCGACGAUCAGUAGCCGACCUGAGAGGGUGGCCGGCCACAUUGGGACUGAGACACGGCCCAAACUCCUACGGGAGGCAGCAGUGGGGAAUAUUGCGCAAUGGGGGAAACCCUGACGCAGCAACGCCGCGUGAGUGAGGAAGUAUCUCGGUAUGUAAAGCUCUAUCAGCGGGGAAGAAGAAAGACGGUACCCGACUAAGAAGCCCCGGCUAACUACGUGCCAGCAGCCGCGGUAAUACGUAGGGGGCGAGCGUUAUCCGGAUUUACUGGGUGUAAAGGGAGCGUAGACGGCGGCGCAAGUCUGAAGUGGAAGCCCGUGGCUCAACCGCGGAACCGCUUUGGAAACUGCGAAGCUGGAGUGCUGGA